AGAGCGAACGCUGGCGGCAGGCCUAAAACAUGCAAGUCGAACGGACCCUUCGGGGUUAGUGGCGGACGGGUGAGCAACACGUGGGAACGUGCCUUUUGGUUCAGAACAACUCAGGGAAACUUGAGCUAAUACUGAAUAAGCCCUACGGGGGAAAGAUUUAUCGCCAUUAGAGCGGCCCGCGUUGGAUUAGCUAGUUGGUGAGGUAAAGGCUCGCCAAGGCUACGAUCCAUAGCUGGUCUGAGAGGAUGAUCAGCCACACUGGGACUGAGACACGGCCCAGACUCCUACGGGAGGCAGCAGUUAGGAAUCUUGCGCAAUGGGCGAAAGCCUGACGCAGCCAUGCCGCGUGAAUGAUGAAGGUCUUAGGAUUGUAAAAUUCUUUCAGCGGGGAAGAUAAUGACUGUACCCGCAGAAGAAGCUCCGGCUAACUUCGUGCCAGCAGCCGC
rnacentral:rRNA from 1 species